GGGUGCCUAGGGAGCGCGGGGAAGGGCUAAGGCCAGGCUGGGCGGGUGAGGCGAGGGAUGCCAGUGCCCUCCCUGACCCGGCGCCGGGCUCCUUGGAGUCAUCAUCACACCGCCGCGCUUUCCCGCCACUAGGAGCGAGUCCUCCCCUCGACCAAUCAGCGUCAGGCGGCUGGGGAGGGCGGGGCAGGGGCGCCGACGGGCGCGGGGAUUGGUGGAGCGGCCGUCCGCCCGGCGCAUGCCGGGAGUGGCAGUGGCCCCCCGCGCUGCAGCCGGCAUCGCGGCGGGACCCGGAGCCUGGAGUUCGGGGGAGGAGAGAGGAGGACGCGAAUCACACCCGCUGCUGCCCCCCAGCCCGCCCCGUCUGUACAAUGGGAUGCUCGGGACUCGGACGGGAGGAUCCAGUGACUGCGAGCCCCGCAUUCGCCCGAUCCCAGCCUCACACCCCCAGCCAGCCCCCAGAGACCCUCCCACACUUACGAAGGAAAUGCAUGCGGCCAGGAGGAGAAUCCGCACCAGGAGGUCUUCAAACUGCUCUAUCACCAGCUCCCACAGGGUCUUCCCUGGGGGAGGAGGCAAGGGGAGGGCCCCGGGUUAAGGUCUAGUGGGUGAAGGUCUGGGAUGGAGCGCCCUGCACUCCGGCCUGCAGUGGGGAGGCUCUAGGGUGGUGGGCAGACAGCUUGGUGCCCAGAGAAGGGCUAAGAAGCUCGCCUGGAGUCCAGAAACAGACUCGGCAAAGUGGGGGGCAGUUCAAGGGUUGGCUGCUUCAAGGAGAAAGCGCCUGGGAGACUUCUGCCCCGGACAGGACUCUAACCUUUAGGGAGGGAGAUUUGCCUUUUGGGAAGGGGUAUUUGCUCAAAGAAUCUAAAGAGGCAGGGAGGAGGGAGUGGGACAGGGCGGGGUGGGGGGUGGUCAUUUAUGAGAGUUCAGGGAUUUCAGUAACUUACCUUCCUCAGCAGGGAGCUCUACCCAGGAAAAAGAAGAAAAGGACAGAUUCAUUUGGGGUUCAGCCUCAUGCCCCCCACACCCAAGACUUUGUGGCUAAGAUAAGAGAAUCAGGCCACCUUGAGGUUCAUCAAGGUCAUCCCAUUAAAACCUCCCAAAACUCUGGA